rnacentral:lncRNA from 1 species
GGUACAGAAAAGAAUGUCACAUCUUUAAUAUAUAAUGGAGUUCUGUACAAAAUAAUUAAUUAAUUACAUCAUACGAAGACAACGAUCCAACAACCACAAUUGACUAGGAGACGACGGCCCAGAUCUCUCACGAACUCGUUGUGACAUCCUUCAUGCUUUUAUAUUGUGGUACCUGUCCUUGACCUGGAGGGUGUGAGUAUAGCAAGGGUGAGGUCACAUAAGUUCAUCGCUCAACAAGUUGUGGGGAAUAAUGUGCAUGAGCUCACUUGUAGUGGGGCUCAUGUGAAGUGUAAGGCUUACCAAAGCAGAUGGUUAAAGUUGAGCAUUGCUUUUAGAGUUGGUCAAAAUUUUAUUAGCAGUUGCUAAGUGUAAGUAGAUACCAACUCAAUUAAAUAAGAGAUCACAAUUAAUAAUAAAUCCCACAAUGCAAUGCAAAUGACAAAUUAAGUUUAGUUUCAUAAGUUAAUCAUGUGAGAGUCCGAGCUACUCAUGACCGUGAGCAUCGCUGAUAUACUAGUUUUACACACUGCAGAGGUUGCAUAUCUUUACCCACAAGUCGUGUUACCCAUUUGCCAAGGGAUCGUGACUUACCAUUCAUCUCUGCUGAGCAGACGAGGCAGGGUAGCACUACGAGGCCUUUACAAAGUUCCACUAGCUUCAGAAAACCCGCUAUGGUUUCUAAGAAGGGCAAGAUAGGAAUCCCUCGUCUGAAAAGCCAUCGCAGCAUGAUUGGCCCGAGAACCUCCCUAUACCGCAACUUCUCUACCGCCCUUGUCUCUUUCGGGUAAGGUAGUCAUACACUAGCUUUCCUAAUUAGUUACCCAAGGGCGUCCCAUACCACCCUUGUGGUAGCACUGUUUUCCUGGGUGGUCGCUCCAUGUUCCAAUUAACAUAAUGAUCUUGUCAUGAACAAUAAUAAACCAACAAUAAUAGUGAAACAUGAUCGUAAUUAAAUAUAACAUUAAUCCCAAAACCAAGUAGAGCAAUAGCAAUACUACCCAAUAGUUCAUUUGUUUCAAGGUGUAGGAUAAACAAUGCUAGGGAAAACUAUUAUGCCCCAUCAAAUUAACCUGAGCAUGUCACAAUGGUUAAUAGAGAACAUUAUUGGGUAAAGAAGAGUGAUGAAGGGCACAACUUGCCUUAUACUUGCGACAACCUGUUGUCCAUAUGCUGACCCAAAAGUUAGGCAUUGGGUUCUCGUCACCUCGCCUCUACUCGUAGCAAUACACACAAUUAAGAAAAUAAUGGAUAUGGUAACAUUUUACCAAAGCAUAUGAACAAACAACGUAAGAAUAUCCUACGCGUCUCUACGAGAUCGUAGGUUCAAGAACCAUUAAAAUCGAAGUUAAAACGAAGAAGUUAUGGAUAAAACAAUAUUUUUAGACGCAAUAAAUCUUCUAGAUGAGAUCAAACAGAUGUUGCAUUUAAACUAAAAAGGUAUUUAAUUAAAAUAUUUGAGUUGGUAUUAAUCAUUAACAAUUAUUUAUAAAAUGCGUAGGUUAGAACUAUAAAUUAGAUUAACUAGAUUAUCUAGCUAAUUAACAUUAAUUAAUUAAUUGAUAAAUUAAAACAAUGUUACUACUGCGUACGCAAAAAUUAAUAUGAACAUAACAUAACUUGAGCAGAUUAAAACAAAUUAUUUAACCUAGAAGUUAUCAUAUUUUUAAUAAAUUAGUAUGGCUGCACAGAUAUAGGUUACAUGACGGUGGGAAAAGUUUGUUUAUAAAUACAUGACCUAGUUAUUGUCAACUUAUUAUGAUUGUACUUACUGGUAAAUUUAUGUUGCAUGACAGUCUUGCAUGUAAAAGGGCAUAUGGUGGUGGUUAUCUAUUAGCUGGGAAGCGUCAAGCCUAUCAUGUAGGAAAGACCUCUAAACUAUCAACAAAUUACCUACCAACCAAGCCAUUCGAUCUCACACUGCUGGACAUCUUUAGCACCUAGCCACUAACCUCCCUUCCACAUCAUAGCCUCAAAACGACAGCGCCGGUGGAGAGCGCCUACGACGGCCUUCGAACUCUCCCAUUCUCUGCUCGCAGCGCCUCUAUCUCCUUUCGCUGCUCUCGGGUAUCACCGGCGUGAUGCUUAAGCGAGAUGGUUAAGGAGACGACGGCUUUGUAUUUAUAUCCACCGGCAGGCCCAAGCUAGGCGUGAUUCCGUUUGAUGCCUAGUUGGCCAUAUGCCGGACUCUGUGGUUCCGUUUGCGGGGAACACGACGAGUUCGUCUAGCUCUGGGGAAAUAGGAACAACUAGAUGAGGUAGAGGUGGCUGACAGCGCGGGCCGAUCCUACAACAACUCAAUCAGGAUGCGUGAAUAAAUUUGUGCCGAUGUCAUGCCUAAGUAAUGUGGAUGCAAGCAUGUCGAGUGGCCGGAAAACAAAAGAUGGGAUGGUCGUGUCGUGUGGAUGUGGAUGUAGACAUGGAAGAUGGGAUGCUCGUCCUGCUUGGUUAGUCACUCUUUUUCUAUCUAUUUUUUCUAUUUCCUUUCUAUUCCUAUUUCAUUUUGUAACUUUCAAAUUUAAUUCAAACUAGGAUUGAGAAUUCAAAAAAAAUGCAACAGUACACAAAUUACCGAGUAUGAGAUGCAAGUCAUACUUAUAUAUAUUAAUUAUUUUAUCCAGUUAAGGAAAUGCUUUUAUAUAAAUCAUACACACAAAAUAAAAAAUAAUUUCUAACAAAUAAUCUCUAAUAAGAGAUGGUUUAACUUAAUCUAUUUUUUAAAGAUAGUGUUUCUAAACACAUAAUUCAGAAAGGAAUAUUUGCAUUAAAUAAUUUGAGGAUAUUCCUAUUUUAUUUAUUAAUUUGAGUUCAACAUUAAAUUCCAGUUUAAGGUAAAAUCGAAAUUUUAAACUACUAAAACUUUAAUAUUACCAUUUAAUUAUUUUAGGAAGGGUAACUUCCAAGGUAUAAUCCUUCAUUAGGAGGCACUUUAAUUUAAUCAUUUUCACAAAAAAAUACUUAACCUAAAAUUAUGAUUUGGGGCAUUAUACAUUCUACCCCCUUAAAAGAAUCUCGACCUCGAGAUUACUAAUAAGAUGUUUAAGUAACUCACCUUUGAUUAAAUAUAAUCAGAUUAGAUGGGUUCUAGAUUAAAUUGGCAUGACUAGAUUAGACUUAUAUAAGAUCUAAUUGAUUUGGGAUAAGUCAUAGUUGUUACAUUAGGGAGAUAAGUAUACUCACCAAGACUUGAAGAAUCUACUAGGAAAGAAUCUUUUAAGACAAGAUGGAUCUAAGGUAGAUAUAUUUUAAUGGGGGAUAAUUUAAGUUUUUCUAGUUAUCUUAUACCCAUAUUUUAUACCUAAGUAUAUGCAGAUGCAAUUGGAGAUAUUACUCCACAACUCAUCAUACUCAGUCAAAGAACCAAAUCAGACAUAUAUGAUAAGAACAAGCAAUCAAACAUAUACAUAAAAAAUAUUUUUGCCAUGAUUGGGACUCCUAUUACUUAGGGUCACUUUAGGUACAUGAUUUCAAAGUGUGAAAUCCACUUCUGUCUUUAGAAGAUAAAAGAUUCUUUACAAGAUAAAAAAUUAGAAUGAUCAGAGUAAAGCAGCAAUAGAUAAGAAAAAGAUUAAGGAAAGUUUAGAAAGAAUAAGAGUAGCAAGGAAAGUAGGUAAGCGUUUUUCUAGUUCUAUCUAGCUUAUGUCCUACAGUCAACAUUCCUCUCAUACCACUUCUGUCACACCCAGGUUUUAGGGGCACCAAACCCGGGCGCGAACUUCACCAAGUGUGCUAGGAUCAAGUCUCACACAUAUGAUGAAUUAUGGUAUAGAAAAGAAUAUCACAUCUUUAAUAUAUAAUAGAGUUCUGUACAAAAUAGUUAAAUAAUUACAUCAUACAAAGACAACGAUCCAACAACCACAGUUGACUGGGAGACGACGGCCUAGACCUCUCACAAACUCACCGCGACAUCCUUCAUGCUUCUUAUGUUGUGGUACCUAUCCUUGACCUGGGGGAUGUGACUACAACAAGGGUGAGCUACAUACGUUCAUCGCUCAACAAGUUAUGGGGAAUAAUAUGUAUGAGCUCACUUGCAGUGGGGCUGAUGUGAAGUGUAAAGCUUACCAAAGAAGAUGGUUAAAACUAAGCAUUGCUUUUAGAGUUGGUCAAAAUUUUCUUAGCAGUUACUAAGUGUAAGUAGAUACCAACCCAAUUAAAUAAGAGAUCACAAUUAAUAAUAAAUCCCACAAUGCACUGCAAAUGACAAAUUAAGUUUAAUUCCAUAAGUUAAUCAUGUGAGAGUCCGAGUUGCUCAUGACCGUGAGUACCGCUGAUAUACUAGUUUUACACUCUGCAGAGGUUGCGCAUCUUUACCCAAAAGUCGUAUUACUCAUUUGCCAAGGGAUCACAACUUUCCAUUCAUCUCUGCCGAGCAGACGAGGCAGGGAAGCACUACAAGGCCUUUACAAAGUUCCACUAGCUUCAGAAAACCCCCUACGGUUCUAAGGACGGCAAGAUAGGAAUCACUCGUCCGAAAAGCCAUUGCAGCACGAUUGACUCGAGAACCUCCCUAUACCACAGCUCUUCUACCGCCCUUGCCCCAUUAAGGUAAGGUAGUCUUCCACUAGCUUUCCAAAUUAGUCAGCCAAGGGUGUCCCAUACCACCCUUGUGGUAGCAUUGUUUUCCCGGGUGGUCACUCCAUGUUCUAAUUAACAUAAUGAUCUUGUCAUGAACAAUAAUAAACCAGCAAUAAUAGUGAAACAUGAUCAUAAUUCAAUAUAUCAUUAAUCCCAAAACCAUGUAGAGCAAUAGCAAUACUACCCAAUAGUUCAUUUGUUUGCAAGGUGUAGGAUAAAAAUGCUAGGGAAAUCUAUUAGGCCCCAUCAAAUUAACCUGAUCAUGUAAAAGUGAUUAAUAGAGAACAUUAUUGGGUAAAGAGGAGUGAUGAAGGGCACAACUUGCCUUGUACUUGUGACAACCUGUUGUUCAUAUGCUGACCCAAAAGUUGGGCAUCGGGUUCUCGUCACCUUGCCUCUACUCGUAGCAAUACAUACAAUCAAGCAAAUAAUAGAUAUGGUAACAUUAUACCAAAGAAUAUGAACAAACAACGUAAGAAUAUCUUACGCGUUGCUACGAGAUCGUAGGUUCAAGAACCAUUAAAAUCGAAGUUAAUACGAAGAAGUUAUGGAUAAAACAAUAUUUUUAGGCGCAAUAAAUCUACUAGAUGGGAUCUAACAGAUAUUGCAUUUAAACUAAGGAGGUAUUAAAUUAAAAUAUUUGAGUUGGUAUUAAUCAUUAACAAUUAUUUAUAAAAUUCAUAAGUUAGAACUAUAAAUUAUGUUAACUAGAUUAUCUAGCUAAUUAACAUUAAUUAAUUAAUUAAUUAAAACAAUGUUAUUACUCCGUACACAAAAAUUAAUAUGAACCUAACACAACUUGAACAGAUUAAAAUAAAUUAUUUAACCUAGAAGAUAUCACAUUUUUAAUAAAUAAGUAGAGUGGCACAAAAAUAUGUUAUAUGACAUUGGGAAAAGUUUGUUUACAAAUGCAUGACAUAGUUAUUGCCAACUUACCAUGAUUGUACCUACUAUUAAAUUCAUGUUGCAUGACAGUCUUGCAUGUAAAGGGUAUAUGGUCGUGGUUAUCUAUUAAUUGGGAAAUGUCAAGCCUAUCAUGCGGGAAAGACCUCUAAACUAUCAACAAAUUACCUUCCAACCAAGCCAUUCGAUCUCACGCUGAUGGACAUCUUUAGCACCUAGCCACGAACCUCCAUGCCACAUCGUAGGAUCAAAACCACAGCGCCGGUGGAGAACUCCUACGACGGCCUUCGAGCUCUCCCAUUCUCUGCUCGCAGCGGUUCUAUCUCUCUUCUUUCGCUGCUCUCGGGUAUCACCGGCAUGAU